GACGAACGCUGGCGGCGUGCUUAACACAUGCAAGUCGAACGGUAAGGCUCCAGCUUGCUGGGGUACACGAGUGGCCAACGGGUGAGUAACACGUGGGUGACCUGCCCUGCACUUCGGGAUAAGCCUGGGAAACUGGGUCUAAUACCCGAUAGGACCGCACCGUGAGGGUGUGGUGGAAAGUUUUUUCGGUGUGGGAUGGGCCCCCGGCCUAUCAGCUUGUUGGUGGGGUAAUGGCCUACCAAGGCGGCGACGGGUAGCCGGCCUGAGAGGGUGGACGGCCACAUUGGGACUGAUACACGGCCCAUACUCCUACGGGAGGCAGCAAUGGGGAAUAUUGCACAGUGGCCGGAAGCCUGAUGCAGCGACGCCUCGUGCGGGAUGACGGCCUACGGGUUGUAAACUCCUUUCACCAUCGACCAAGGGUUUCUGACAGUCGAUGGACACCAAGCACCGGCUAACUACGCGCCAGCAGCUGCGGUAAUACGUAGGGUGCGAGCCCUCUCCGGAAUUACUGGGCGUAAAGAGCCUCGUAGGUGGUUUGUCGCGUCGUCUGUGAAAUUCCGGGGCUUAACUCCGGGCGUGCAGGCGAUACGGGCAUAACUUGAGUACUGUAGGGGAGACUGGAAUUCCUGGUGUAGCGGUGAAAUGCGCAGAUAUCAGGAGGAACACCGGUGGCGAAGGCGGGUCUCUGGGCAGUAACUGACGCUGAGGAGCGAAAGCAUGGGGAGCGAACAGGAUUAGAUACCCUGGUAGUCCAUGCCGUAAACGGUGGGCGCUAGGUGUGGGUUUCCUUCCACGGGAUCCGUGCCGUAGCUAACGCAUUAAGCGCCCCGCCUGGGGAGUACGGCCGCAAGGCUAAAACUCAAAGGAAUUGACGGGGGCCCGCACAAGCGGCGGAGCAUGUGGAUUAAUUCGAUGCAACGCGAAGAACCUUACCUGGGCUUGACAUAUACAGGAUCGCGCCAGAGAUGGUGUUUCCCUUGUGGCUUGUAUACAGGUGGUGCAUGGUUGUCGUCAGCUCGUGUCGUGAGAUGUUGGGUUAAGUCCCGCAACGAGCGCAACCCUUGUCUUAUGUUGCCAGCACGUUGUGGUGGGGACUCGUAAGAAACUGCCGGGGUUAACUCGGAGGAAGGUGGGGAUGACGUCAAAUCAUCAUGCCCCUUAUGUCCAGGGCUUCACACAUGCUACAAUGGUCGGUACAGUGGGUUGCCAGUCCGUGAGGGCGAGCUAAUCCCGCAAAGCCGGUCUCAGUUCGGAUCGGGGUCUGCAACUCGACCCCGUGAAGUCGGAGUCGCUAGUAAUCGCAGAUCAGCAACGCUGCGGUGAAUACGUCCCCGGGCCU
rnacentral:rRNA from 1 species